CUUACAUAUGGUCAAGACCCAUCGGCCUCAGUUUGCAAAACAGUGGUCAUACAUAGUGUCAUAGUUCAACAGAGUGAGGGAAUCCCCGUAGCGUCCUCCUUUGAACGGCAAAGACGACAGCGGCUUCCCCAGAUAAAAGACGACCAAACAAGAAAGGGAGGAUGAAAAAAAAAAAACACAUGAAAAAGAAUGGGACGAGGACGAAGAAGAAA